CAGCAGUCGCCGCGGUAAUACGAAGGGUGCAAGCGUUACUCGGAAUUACUGGGCGUAAAGCGUGCGUAGGUGGUGGUUUAAGUCCGUUGUGAAAGCCCUGGGCUCAACCUGGGAAUUGCAGUGGAUACUGGGUCACUAGAGUGUGGUAGAGGAUAGUGGAAUUUCCGGUGUAGCAGUGAAAUGCGUAGAGAUCGGAAGGAACAUCUGUGGCGAAGGCGACUAUCUGGGCCAACACUGACACUGAGGCACGAAAGCGUGGGGAGCAAACAGGAUUAGAUACCCCCGUAGUCCCUGUCUCUUAUAC
rnacentral:rRNA from 1 species